AACUGAUGAAUCAUUUUUAAAAAAUAAGGUGUCUUAUCUCCCGUGAGUUAGCAUCAGAUGAAGCUUGCUGACAGCGUAAUGGCAGGGAAAGCUUCCGACGGCUCCAUCAAAUGGCAGCUCUGCUACGACAUCUCGGCCAGAACUUGGUGGAUGAGCCUUUCCCAUUAAUGAAGUCAUCAAUGAUGUUGCCUGCAUUCACC
rnacentral:lncRNA from 1 species